rnacentral:lncRNA from 1 species
CGAACUCCGUCUUCUCCUCCACGGCAGCAGGUGCUUCAGCUCCAGCGCCAGGUGCGGCAACAACCGCAGCAGGAGCAAAGGAGGCGGCGGUGACUCCAAGCUUGUCUUGGAGGUACUCAACUAGCUUUUGUGCAUCUGCAAGGGUUAGGUUCGAAAUUUCAUCGCCUAGCUCUACAACCUUCCCCUCGGCAACGGCGGCAACGGGGCGGAGAAAUGUCGAUCGGUGGGAGAGUUUAGGGGUUCGGAGGGGGAAUUCUAGGGUUUGUUUGGGGGAAAAGGCUGCGGGAGAUGCAGCUUGAGUGGUGGCAGCGUAGGAAGGAUAAGAGAAGGAGCGCAAAGUAAUUGUAGAGAGAGUAGAAGACGCCAUUAGAGCAGAGCUCGGGAGA